rnacentral:rRNA from 1 species
CAGCCGCCGCGGUAAUACGUAGGUCCCGAGCGUUGUCCGGAUUUAUUGGGCGUAAAGCGAGCGCAGGCGGUUAGAUAAGUCUGAAGUUAAGGGCUGUGGCUUAACCAUAGUACGCUUUGGAAACUGUUUAACUUGAGUGCAGAAGGGGAGAGUGGAAUUCCAUGUGUAGCGGUGAAAUGCGUAGACAUAUGGAGGAACACCGGUGGCGAAAGCGGCUCUCUGGUCUGUAACUGACGCUGAGGCUCGAAAGCGUGGGGAGCAAACAGGAUUAGAUACCCCGGUAGUCCCUGUCUCUUAUACA